AAAACAGCCAAGAUUAACCCAAUUGCAAGGUCGGCAACGUCGUCAGUCAACACGUCGGGGGUGUUGGUAACCCUAAUCCCCUUUUGUUGGCAUUUUCUCAAAUCAAUUUUAUCUAAACCGACGCUGUAGGUGGACACAAUCUCCAACCCCGGGAAGGAAUCGAUGAGUUGGGCAUCGGCGCCGAUUUUGGUGUCUCCGACUACUGCUUUGACUGAAUUCAAGUUCUCAUUCUCUUUCAGGAAAUCCGCCAAUGAAGGAUAGGACCACAGUUUGAAGAGAUUAAAGCGCUUUUGUAGUUGUGUUUCGAGUCCAAUUUACAGGCACGUUGAAAUGUGCUACUCCUAACAUGAUGCAACAACAAGAAAUUAUCAAGCUCCAAUAGUUGUGGUGGAACAUUAGGCGAGUAUGGUGACAGGGUUCAAUUUACCGAGUACAUACUCAAAAACGUAGCUUUGUACCAAUUCCGUAAUGGGAUUCCCCUAACCACUGCUGCCGCGGCUAACUUUACUCGGGCCGAGCUCGCCACCGCUUUACGAAAGCGGUACCCUAGAACUAUCGUCAACCUUAGAUCGGAGAUUGGAGAGGAGGAAUUCCGUUUCACUUGUUUCGCUCACAACAGUAUAUGCAAUCUUCUUCAUUUCGUUUCAACCUUCGGAGCCUCUCUGUAUCUCACAUUCAAAAAUUUAUUCCUAGAAAGUGGAAAGGGACGAUUUCAAAUAGUGAUGUUUCUAUGAUAGAUUCUCUUCUUAUUGCCAUUAAGAACUUCACAAGCGAGGGCCAUUUAUCAAAAGCAUUUAAAGCUUUCUCUACUGUCCAAAAUCAUGUCUCUUCUUCUACUAGUUGUUCCAACAACAUUUUAUUAUUACGACCCAUUUCGUCUCUUAUUACAUCCUGCACCAAUCUUAAAUCACUUUCUGAAGGUAAACAACUUCAUGCUCACAUUAUUGUGUUGGGAUUUGAACAAUAUCCUAGCUUGGUUCCAAAGCUGGUCUCUUUUUACACAAGCUUUAACCUUCUUGUUGAUGCUCAUGUUUUUACUGAGAAUUCUAAGAUAUUGCAUCCUUUGCCUUGGAAUCUGCUCAUAUUUUCAUACGUUAAAAAUGGGCUAUUUGGUGAGGCUCUAUCUGCCUUCAAACAAAUGGUAAAUAGAGGGAUUAGACCAGAUAAUUUCACUUACCCGGCUGUGCUAAAGGCUUGUGGCGAAAAGAUGGACGUAGCUUUUGGAAGAGAGGCACACAUGUCCAUUGAGCAUUGCUCUUUGGAGUGGAGCUUGUUUGUGCACAACGCAUUGGUCGCCAUGUAUGGGAAGUUUGGGCUUAUAGACAUUGCUCGCCACUUGUUCGAUAAAAUGCCCGAGAGGGAUGCAGUAUCUUGGAAUUCAAUGAUCUCGAUUUAUGCCUCUAGGGGAAUGUGGAAUGAAGCAUUUGAAUUGUUUGAAAGCAUGUGGAUGGAGAGUAAUGAAGUAAAUGUCAUCACUUGGAACACCAUUGCUGGAGGGUGUGUGCGUACAGGAAAUUUCGUGGGAGCUCUUAAGUUGCUUUCUCAAAUCAGAUUUAGUGGUAAUCUUUCGGACUCAGUGGGGAUGAUUAUUGGCUUGAAUGCUUGUUCCCACUUGGGUGCCAUUAAGUUGGGGAAGGAAAUCCAUGGUUUUGCAGUUCGCAGUGGUAUUUAUGGGUUUGAAAAUUUAAAAAAUGCACUAAUUACUAUGUAUUCCAGGUGUGAGGACCUUAGGCAUGCAUAUACUAUGUUUCAAUUGAUAGAAGAUAAAAAUAUAAUUACUUGGAAUUCUAUGAUUUCUGGUUUUGCUCAUAUGGAUAGAGUUGAGGAAGCCUCAUUCUUAUUUAGAGAAAUGAUGCUGUCGGGAUUUGAACCAAAUUAUGUCACAAUUGCCAGCAUCCUACCUCUCUGUGCCCGAGUAGCAAAUCUCCAACAUGGAAAGGAGUUCCAUUGUUACAUUAUAAAGCGGAAAGAAUUUGGGAAUUAUUUGUUGUUGUGGAAUGCAAUUGUGGACAUGUAUGCAAGGUCGGGCAAGAUUUUCAAGGCUAAAAAAGUAUUUGAUUCUUUGACCAAGAGAGACAAAGUAACCUUUACUACUAUGAUGUCCGGUUAUGGGAUGCAGGGAGAGGGCCAAGCUGCUUUGAAGAUAUUUGAUGAGAUGACCAGACGUGGGAUCAAACCAGAUUAUGUAACCAUGGUUGCUAUUUUAUCAGCAUGUAGCCAUGCGGGUCUUGUGAUGCAAGGUAAAAUGCUAUUUGAGAAGAUGUCGAGUGUUUUUGAUAUAUGUCCCCGUUUGGAGCACUAUGCUUGCAUGGUUGAUCUUUAUGGGAGGGCUGGUCUAAUAAAGCAAGCAAAGGAGACUAUCACAAGGAUGCCACACAACUACAAGCCAACUGCUGCCAUGUGGGCCACUCUGAUUGGAGCUUGUCGAAUCCAUGGGAGUGUAGAAAUAGGGGAAUGGGCAGCCGAGAACCUACUGAAAAUGAGGACUGAGAAUUCAGGCUACUAUGUGUUAAUUGCAAAUAUGUAUGCUGCUGCCGGGAAUUGGAAAAAGCUAGCAGAGGUGAGGGUGUUCAUGAGAGAUUUGGGUGUGAGGAAAUCCCCUGGCUGUGCUUGGGUUGAUGUGGGCAAUGGAUUCUCUCCCUUUCUGGUUGGGGACACGUCAAAACCUGACAUUUACCUUGUAUCAGAUGGAUUGACCGAGUUAAUGAAAGAUGGUGGUUAUACUGCAGCCGAGGAUUUCAGUGCAGCCGAAGAUUUUUGUUGUGAGGCGUAGAUGAGACAAUAGGAAUGAGUGCAGACUUAAACAAGCAUUCAUGUUUGGAUAGCCCUUCAACAUGUAUCAGCUGUUGAAGACUUCCUUGGGGAUUUGAGGGGAUCAGUUAAAACAGUGAAAGCGCCAGUAACGGUGGGCUAGCUCACUUAAAUUGGUGCUGCAAGGAAGAUCCCAGACAGGGAGUAACUGUCAUGAUGUUCCAUGCUAGUGCUGGUGAUGCAUUCUUUGACUUUUUGAUUGUUUUUCCAAACGUUUUUACACAAGAAAGGCUAAAUUAUUUGAGCUGAAGGCUAUACGAGAAGUACAUACCAUCAUUUAUUUAGAUUCAUAUACACAGGUGGAUAUGAUAUUUGUUGUAAGAUAUAAAAGUGUAAGGCAAUCCGAUCAAUAUAGUGGUACAAAAUUAAUUAAAGAAAAAGUGAAAUCAAAAUUUUUGUUACAUAUAAGAGUGGGGGAAAUCCGAUCAAUAUAGUGAUACAAAAGCUUCCUACUUUCCUUUCCUUUGUUUUGUUUGUAUAUUUAUUAUAGGAUUAAUAAAACUUUUUGAGUCAAAGAAGCAUUAAUAAUUAGCUGAGAAUCUUUUCAA